AGCUGCAGAACUGUAGCUCUCUGCUUGAGAAAUUCGGACAGAUAAAGCAGAGAGCUACAGAUCCAAGCAUUUUAAAAACCUUCGAUUUACGCUGACAUUUUUUGUCGCUACUUUAGGUAUUUAUUUCGGGUUGUUUGAGCUUUCUCUGGCUUUUAAAAUGGUAUCCUGGUAUUAAAUGGUAAUAAUUCAUAUAUUUCACUCUAACCUGAUACUCUGUUUACCUUCUAACGGUCCGAAACAGUCCUGUUUAUAGUUUUGUAAUGUCGGUUUAAAAGAUUUCUAUUUCGACGUCUGUAACCACAAACAGCCAUUUGUUAGCGUUAGGGGGUAAGUAAACAAUCAGGAAUUGAAAUUGAUUGUAUGGUUUAUUAUUAAAUAUCAUUUAAAAUUAUUUUCAAAGCUGGGUAAAGUAUAAAAUACACAAAAAUAUACCCAAAGUGAGCGACCAAAAAUCGUUGGAGUAAAUUGAAUGUUUUUACAAGGCUUGGAUCUGUAGCUCUCUGCUUUGUCAGAAUUUUCUCAAGCAGAGAGCUACAGUUCUGCAGCUAGUUUGGAACGAGUAUAAUCCUAUACUUAAUCAGGGCUUUUUAGAAGGGGAAUUAAAUAACUAAAAGGAUCAAUAAUAAUUGAUGGUGUGACUGAAUGUAAGACGUUUAUAAAUAUAUACUUCAACUUGUUCAGUUUUUAGCUCAGCCUCAUCUCAACGAAGUUGGGGGAGCUUUUAAUACCUACAUAUCCACAAAAAUUAGAAUUUACCAAAUGCUAUUAAUUUGUCCUGGAGAUGGGAUUGAUCCUGACCUCUUCUGCAUAUGGAAUGGUGUUUAAAUUUAUACUCAAGUGGUUCAGUCUCAGUGGGGAUAAUAAGUUACUUGUUUUUAAAAAGGAAUUAGAUAUAUAUAUGUACAUAGUUGUACUAUUUUAUGUAAAUUUCUAGAUGACAAAAAAUACCUUGAAGAAAAGAAAAAAUCAAGGCAACGAAAGCAUGAAUUUCAAGAUGGGUCAGUAGCAUCCUGUUCCAGCAUAUCAGCUCCUUCUGAAAAGACAGCACCAGCUCCAGACUCUGAUGAAACUGAGUCGCCACCUGCCACACCACUUAAUAAAGGUAAAUCAGCAUCCUCUUCAAGCAAACGACUCGGACAGUCUAAUAUUAGAUUAAUCCCUGAAAAGACAGCACCAGCUCCCGACUCUGAUGAAACUGAGUCGCCACUUGCCACACCACUUAAUACAGGUAAAUCAGCAUCCUCUUCAAGGAAACGACUCGGACAGUCUAAUAUUAGAUUAAUCCCUGAAAAGACAGCACCAGCUCCCAACUCUGAUGAAACUGAGUCGCCACAUGCCACACCACUUAAUACAGGUAAAUCAGGUGAGUUAAUGUAUCUAUUAAUCUGUGAAAUGUUUGCAUCCUCUCUCUGCACUGACUUCUUUAAUUAAAACAAGAUCUAAACAAGUUAACAGGUGCUCACCCUGAUAUCAAUAAUUUAAAAUUGUUAUAAAACAUUAUUCAUAACAAUGACA